GGUAGCUUAAUUUGUUUGCUCAAA
rnacentral:siRNA from 1 species